CGUGCUGGCCAAUCAGCGCCCGGCCACGGCCGUAAUUGCCUCGCGGCGGGGCGAGCGCUGCGCCGGGCGUGAGUGAGUGUGCGCGCGCUCGCGAGUGUGGUAUGUGCGGGUGUGCGCGCGUGGGGAGGUGCGCGUGCGAGCGGGGCGUGAAGACCCCGCGACUUCCAAGCACCGCCAGAGGCCGGGCCACAGCCGGCUUCAGGGCUGCGAGGCUGCGACCGGUUUCGGUGCCCACGCGUAAUAAAGUGUUUUCAGUGCCCCGGGGGGGGGGGUGCAUGGAACCCUCUCGUUCCCGGGCUCAGCCUCAGAGCGUAAGGAGGUGUUCGCCCCCACCCCCACUCCUGUGGCCCCGCCCGCUGCGCGCCCGAGGUCCCGCUCCCGGAGAGCGGGUCCCCGCCGUCCCGCUCCCCGAGAGGCUCGGGCCUUAGGAAGGGGGUGGGGGCGAGAGCCAGUGCCCCUGGCCGCUCAGGUCUUGGGGGGGCAGGCCCCAUCCCUCACGGAGCCUCCGUUUCUAGACUCUGAACCCGUGGGGAGUCUCCUCCGGUUCCUGCAGCGGGGAGCGCGGCGACAGAAAUGCGUCCCGGGCCACGCCGCCACCUCGGGGCUGUGUCAGCUCCGCCCGGGAGCAGGUGACGGCCCAGCCACCGGGUCGCAGCGCGGUCGCGCGGGUGGAGCCGGCUUCACCGGACGCGGGUUUUCUCCGAGAGAGAGCUACAUCCCGCCUCCCAGUGCCAGCCGGGGUGGCCCCUGUCCAACCGCGUGCUGCCCGCGUUCUCCCGGGACGGCUGCAGGCCGGCUCCCGGCGCUCCGAGUUUCAGAUCAGCCACGGCGGCCGGGAGCAUCAACCCCAUUUUCCAGAGGGGAAAACAGAGGCGAGACGAGGAGAGACCACACCGUGUGAAAGAGCACGCUGAAGAGGCAGACGCACAGGGGCGGCACAGGGAGGACUGGAGGACUGGGCCCACACCCCACCGGGAGCCUUCCGGGGAGCGCGGCCCCCGGACACCCCCAUCUCGGACUUCUGGACUCCAGAGCUGAGGGACAGUCGCUCUCUGCCGUCCUGAGCCCCCCCAGCGUGUGGCCCCGAGUUCCAGCAGCCCCCGGGUGCGAGCAUUGCUGAAUUUAAACAAAGAAAUGGAGAAAGACGUCCCAGAGUGAUCCCCUGGGGGGGGAAGAGUGAAGAACUUUCGUAUCGUAUAAAUAAUACAUGCCCGGCACGGAGGAUCUGGAAAUGUGAAAAGUCCGCGAUGAUCCGGCUGCCGCGCCUCACACCUGCACCAGCCCCGAACGGGGCGCCUCUCCUCCGCACCCCUGCCGACAGGCCGCAUACCUCCUUUUUCUUUCUUUCUUUUUUUUGCCAGACGAAUGGGCAUACAGCGGCACCUAAGCCUGGGCUGCUCCAGACGGUUCGGCCGGGACUGGAGGCUCGACCCCGGGAGACCCUACCGACGUCAGCUCCUCGUCCGAGAUGCUCUCCCACCGUGCCGCGUCUCCCUGCAGGGCCUGCUCGGAACAUCCAUCCGCUCCGCCCUUGGCAGAAGCUUGAUACCUCAAGUGUCACAAAGAUUUUGAAGGAGAGGAGGCUCGGGUUUCCUCCCUGGCCCCGCCCGAGCUCCGUGGGGCUGCGAGCUCCCCCCCCCCCCACCAGCCACCAGCAUUCCUGUGGGGGCACCCGGCCCUGGCCACGCUACUAAAUCACAAACUGGGCCGCUUAAAACAACAGAAAUGGAUUGUCUCAGAGUCCAGGGGGUCGGAAGUCCGACAUCGGUGUUGCUGGGCCGAAAUCAGGUGUCCACACGGUCGUGCUCCUCUGGGGCUCUAGGCAGUGAUGGGCUUGUGGCCGCCCUGCCCCCCCUCUGCCUCUGUCUUCCCUGUGUGUGUGUGUGUGUGUGUGUGUGUGUGUGAUCUCUGUCUCCCGUUUAUUAGCAGACGUGUAAUUGCAUUUAAGGCCCAUGUGGGUAAUCCUGGAUAAUCUCCACAUCCUCGACUAAUCGCAGCUACAAAGACCCUUUUCGCACCCAA